rnacentral:rRNA from 1 species
ACGGGAAACUGCGAAUGGCUCAUUAAAUCAGUUAUCGUUUAUUUGAUAGUACCUUACUACAUGGAUAACCGUGGUAAUUCUAGAGCUAAUACAUGCUGAAAACCCCGACUUCGGGAGGGGUGUAUUUAUUAGAUAAAAAACCAACGCCCUUCGGGGCUCCUUGGUGAUUCAUGAUAACUUAACGAAUCGCAUGGCCUUGCGCCGGCGAUGGUUCAUUCAAAUUUCUGCCCUAUCAACUUUCGAUGGUAGGAUAGUGGCCUACCAUGGUAUCAACGGGUAACGGGGAAUUAGGGUUCGAUUCCGGAGAGGGAGCCUGAGAAACGGCUACCACAUCCAAGGAAGGCAGCAGGCGCGCAAAUUACCCAAUCCCGACACGGGGAGGUAGUGACAAUAAAUACUGAUACAGGGCUCUUUUGGGUCUUGUAAUUGGAAUGAGUACAAUUUAAAUCCCUUAACGAGGAACAAUUGGAGGGCAAGUCUGGUGCCAGCAGCCGCGGUAAUUCCAGCUCCAAUAGCGUAUAUUAAAGUUGUUGCAGUUAAAAAGCUCGUAGUUGAACCUUGGGCCUGGCCGGCCGGUCCGCCUCACCGCGUGCACUGGUUCGGCCGGGCCUUUCCUUCUGGGGAGCCGCAUGCCCUUCACUGGGUGUGCUGGGGAACCAGGACUUUUACUUUGAAAAAAUUAGAGUGUUCAAAGCAGGCCUUUGCUCGGAUACAUUAGCAUGGAAUAAUAGAAUAGCACGUGC